rnacentral:rRNA from 1 species
UAACACGUGAGUAACCUGCCCUAAAGUCUGGGAUACCACUUGGAAACAGGUGCUAAUACCGGAUAACAACAAUAGCUGCAUGGCUAUUGCUUAAAAGGCGGCGAAAGCUGUCGCUAAAGGAUGGACCCGCGGUGCAUUAGCUAGUUGGUAAGGUAAUGGCUUACCAAGGCGACGAUGCAUAGCCGAGUUGAGAGACUGAUCGGCCACAUUGGGACUGAGACACGGCCCAAACUCCUACGGGAGGCAGCAG